rnacentral:rRNA from 1 species
CAGUCGCCGCGGUAAUACAGAGGGUGCAAGCGUUAAUCGGAAUUACUGGGCGUAAAGCGCGCGUAGGUGGUUUGUUAAGUUGGAUGUGAAAUCCCCGGGCUCAACCUGGGAACUGCAUCCAAAACUGGCAAGCUAGAGUAUGGUAGAGGGUGGUGGAAUUUCCUGUGUAGCGGUGAAAUGCGUAGAUAUAGGAAGGAACACCAGUGGCGAAGGCGACCACCUGGACUGAUACUGACAUUGAGGUGCGAAAGCGUGGGGAGCAAACAGGAUUAGAUACCCCUGUAGUCCCUGUCUCUUAUAC